GGGAACAAGUCAACUACAUCAUUAACAUGGACGCGUCGUACGGCAGGGCAACCCACGACGCCUUCAUAUGUAGCAAUAGCAUUAGUCAAGACUACUUCGAGCAGCGGGCAUGUGGUACCAGCGAAAUAGCGCACAUUAGGUAGAAGACUCCGGGUAUCCACUGCGGGAACACGGGACACCUUAUGAUUUCUGCAAGCGGCGCCGCAGAAGAAUCCCCGAGGCUAUAACGCCAUACAAAAGAAGGCGCGCUCCACUAUAGAGCUAACAUUUGGGAUAUUAAAAGUUACACCACCACCAUGGCCACUACUGUCUGAUCUGUGAUCCGUGCUGUGCCUAUACGCGAAGACCGUACUCCCGACGACGGCGAUGAAAAUAACACUGCCGGCUUUUCAAGGAGCUACAUUACCAGCUGAUAAUGCAACUAUUACCCAAUGCCCCGUACCUACGUAGUAUAGAAGAAGACUAAGACUUAUCUACUAUAUAAGCAGAGGCUAGCAAACUAGUCUUAUUUCCUAUGAGGCCAUGCUGUGGUAAUUAUUAAAUUCACCUUAGAAAGCUAAUGUAAGGCAUAAGGAUAAUAAGGCACAUAUAUUUGAAUCGCCUCCUUUACAGGAAUAAAUUGUGUAAUUUAUUGUACCUGCUAGUUAAACUAAUACACGAUUAGCAGCACUAAGAGUUGUAUUGGCCAAGUUGACUACGGAGUAAUAUACCUAGCAGGUACAAUAAAUUACAUUUGUUUCUGAGUGAUUUAAAAUAUGUGUCUUAACCAGACACAGAUUGUGCCGAUUGUGUUAUUAACUAUGAUUGCAUAACUUUGUCUAGUAUAGUUCUGAAUAUUUGACCAUCGAUAUAAAUGAUGUAGAUAUACAAAGAUAGAUAGAUAGAAUACUUUAAAAUUUAAAGAUGUAUAAUGCGUGUGUUUAUUUCUUAAGAUGUAUGUAUUGUUCAAAAUUCCAUGGCAGAAUUUUGUUACAAAACAAUCAGUGUAGUAGUAUAGUAUAUAACGAUAAGCAAACAUGUUACUCGUAAAGGAAUAAUUACACACGAACGAAAUAUAUAAGACUUGUAAUGUAAAAAUCUAAAUGUUAUAUUAUAUCUGAGUUGUGUAAACUUCGAAAACUUUUGGCUGUGGCGGCGAACAAUUAUUUCAUGACACGGCAGGCGUGCCUUACGCCAUAGAAUAUGAUCGCACGCCUGUCGUGUCAUGCGCCACACGUUGAAAUCAUUGAUGACACGCCUGUCGUGCCAACCGCACCGAAACGGUUAUAAAUGUACCUAUGAUAAAUAAUUUUAUAAGGUUAGGUAGGCUAUUUUAUUUCUUACUCUUGUAUGUGCAAAUAAACAUAGUCAAUGAUUAGUCAAUAAUAUGUAAAUGACAUUAGAGUGAGACCAAGAUAAGUAUGCAGCUAUUUUUAUAGCACAAACGUGCAAGUGUAUUUUAAAUUCCAAAUUUCUAUGAAAUUAUGUAUUUAAAUAACAUUUGCGCGUCUGUGCUAUAAAAAUCGCUUAAUAUCUUGGUCUGACUAACUCUUUUCGAAUG